GACGAACGCUGGCGGCGUGCUUAACACAUGCAAGUCGUGCGGUAAGGCCCUGCUUUGGUGGGGUACACGAGCGGCGAACGGGUGAGUAACACGUGGGUGACCUGCCUUCAGCUUUGGGAUAAGCCUGGGAAACUGGGUCUAAUACCGGAUAUGACCUUGGGGUGCAUGCCUUGGGGUGGAAAGCCUGUGUUGUUUGGCAUGGGUGGCUGGGGAUGGGCCCGCGGUCUAUCAGCNGUUGGUGGGGUGAUGGCCUACCAAGGCGACGACGGGUAGCCGGCCUGAGAGGGCGUUCGGCCACACUGGGACUGAGACACGGCCCAGACUCCUACGGGAGGCAGCAGUGGGGAAUAUUGCGCAAGUGGGCGGAAGCCUGACGCAGCGACGCCGCGGUGGGGGAGU
rnacentral:rRNA from 1 species